GUUUAAUUUUGUGAUUUGAAUGUAGAUAUUAUAAAGUAGUUUUUGAGAGUGUUUUUGUUUAGAUUUUAGAUGAUGAUAUUUUCGUUUUUAACGAAAUUAUUAGAGUUAUUUAAAUAUUUAUUUAUAGUUUUUAUAAAAAGAGUGUUUUUAAAUUGUUGUAUUAAAAGAAAGGUUUAAUUUUGUGAGAUGAAUGUAUAUAUUAUAAAGUAGU
rnacentral:misc_RNA from 1 species